GACUACCGGGGUAUCUAAUCCUGUUUGCUCCCCACGCUUUCGUGCCUCAGCGUCAGUUCCGGCCCAGUAAGCCGCCUUCGCCACUGGUGUUCCUCCAAAUAUCUACGCAUUCCACCGCUCCACUUGGAAUUCCACUUACCUCUACCGUACUCUAGCUUGCCAGUUUCCAAUGACCCUCCACAGUUAAGCUGUGGGAUUUUACAUCGAACUUAACAAACCGCCUACGCACGCUUUACGCCCAAUAAUUCCGGAUAACGCUCGCCCCCUAUGUAUUACCGCGGCUGCUGGCACAUAGUUAGCCGGGGCUUUCUCGUUAGGUACCGUCACGCAUAAUGCAUUUCCUCAUUAUGCCUUUCUUCCCCAAUAACAGAACUUUACAAUCCGAAGAUCGUCUUCAUUCACGCGGCAUUGCUCGGUCAGACUUGCGUCCAUUGCCGAAAAUUCCCCACUGCAGCCGCCCGUAGG
rnacentral:rRNA from 1 species